rnacentral:ribozyme from 1 species
ACGAAACACGACGACAUAAGAAAGAAAGGAGAAAGCAAGAUGGAAAUACAUUAGUUGCUCUUGCAUUUUUCCUGUUUCCGUAACUUAGAAUGAAAUUCUUGCUCCUUGUGCUGUCUAUUA